UCUAUUGAUUUUUUAUAUAGCCCUAUGUAGAUACCCAAGCUGGGGAGCUAGACACAUGGCCAGCACAUGCCAGCAGUCUAGCCACAUCCACAACUGUGGCUGUGCUCAACAAAAACAAAAACCUGAUGUUGGUAAAAGAAGAUGAAAAGGGGAAGAUCACUCCAAAACCCAGAUUUCUGGAGCAACUUGAGACCUUCUUGAAGAAAGAACUACAAGCUCUGGGUGUGACAGAUGUUCAUCCUAGCGAGCUCCGACUCCAAGCACAUCGUGAGGUAUUUGAAUACCUGAUUGAAGACUUUAAAACAUACAGACCUUUGUUAUCAACUA
rnacentral:sRNA from 1 species